rnacentral:rRNA from 1 species
UGAGCGAUGAAGGCCUUCGGGUCGUAAAGCUCUGUUGUUAGGGAAGAAUAAGUAUCAGUUAACUGCUGGUACCUUGACGGUACCUAACGAGAAAGCCACGGCUAACUACGUGCCAGCAGCCGCGGUAAUACGUAGGCGGCAAGCGUUGUCCGGAUUUAUUGGGCGUAAAGCGCGCGCAGGCGGUUCUUUAAGUCUGAUGUGAAAGCCCCCGGCUCAACCGGGGAGGGUCAUUGGAAACUGGGGAACUUGAGUGCAGAAGAGAAGAGCGGAAUUCCACGUGUAGCGGUGAAAUGCGUAGAGAUGUGGAGGAACACCAGUGGCGAAGGCGGCUCUUUGGUCUGUAACUGACGCUGAGGCGCGAAAGCGUGGGGAGCAAACAGGAUUAGAUACCCUGGUAGUCCACGCCGUAAACGA